rnacentral:rRNA from 1 species
CAGUAGCCGCGGUAAUACAGAGGGUGCGAGCGUUAAUCGGAUUUACUGGGCGUAAAGCGUGCGUAGGCGGCUUUUUAAGUCGGAUGUGAAAUCCCUGAGCUUAACUUAGGAAUUGCAUUCGAUACUGGGAAGCUAGAGUAUGGGAGAGGAUGGUAGAAUUCCAGGUGUAGCGGUGAAAUGCGUAGAGAUCUGGAGGAAUACCGAUGGCGAAGGCAGCCAUCUGGCCUAAUACUGACGCUGAGGUACGAAAGCAUGGGGAGCAAACAGGAUUAGAUACCCGUGUAGUCCCUGUCUCUUAUAU